rnacentral:lncRNA from 1 species
AAGGAUAAAGGAAGAAUAAGAAAUUUAUUCCUCUUAUUCUUCCAAACGGUAUCAAAUAACGCCAAGAACUAUUAUUCUUCUCUUAACGGGUUAUUUCGGAAUAACCCGUUAAGAGGGAAGAAUAGUAGUUCCACCUAUUUGGUGGAACAAGCUAUUCUCUACCUUAUUCCUCUACUAAUUAAAUUAUAAAUAAUUAUAAAUUAUAAUUAAUUAAUGCAUUUAAAUUUUUUAAUAAUUGACUAAUUAAUUAUUUAAGUUAUUAAAUUAAUAAAUAUUUAAAUAAUAAUUUAUUUAUAAUUUAUUAUUAUUUAUCUAAUUAAAUAGUUAGCCAUAUAUUCAAUUAUUUACUAAUAUUUAUAUUAUUUAAAUAAUUAGUAUUUUAAUUUAUAUAAUUAAUAUAUUAACUAAAAAAAUAAAUGAUUAAAUAAUUAAUUCUAUUAACAUGUUGACUUAUUUUUUAUAGUUAUUUACUAAUUAAUGUCAUCUUUGUCAUCUCAUAUCGUAAUUUUAAUUAAUUUAUAAUGUAAUUUUGAUUAAUUUAUUUAUUAACUUAUUAAAAUAUUAUUUACUAAUACUUAGGUGUUUAAUAUUUAGAUAAAUUAAUUUUAUUUUCAAUCAUAAUUACUCUUAUCCCUACUAUUCCAACCCAAUCAACCAAACGUAAUUUUUUUUAUUUCUCUAAAUAUCUUGAUUCUCGUCCAAACACAAAAUUGAACUAAUUUCUACCUAUCACAAAAAUUACACCUAUCCCAAGAAUAAACAAAAAUUGGUUGUUCUUGAACCAAACGGUACCUUAAG